rnacentral:rRNA from 1 species
CAGCAGCCGCGGGAAUACGGAGGGGGCUAGCGUUGUUCGGAAUUACUGGGCGUAAAGCGCACGUAGGCGGCUUGGUAAGAUAGAGGUGAAAGCCUGGAGCUCAACUCCAGAAUUGCCUUUAAGACUGCCGAGCUAGCAGGUGAGAGAGGUAAGUGGAAUUCCGAGUGUAGAGGUGAAAUUCGUAGAUAUUGGGAAGAACACCGGUGGCGAAGGCGGCAACCUGGCUCAUUACUGACGCUGAGGCGCGAAAGCGUGGGGAGCAAACAGGAUUAGAUACCCCCGUAGUCCCUGUCUCUUAUAA